GGUCCUGUAGCUCAGUGGCAGAGCACCGCCCUUAUAAGACGGCCGUCGCAGGUUCGAUCCCUGCCAGGACCACAA
rnacentral:tRNA from 3 species